UACGAAGGGGGCUAGCGUUGUUCGGAAUCACUGGGCGUAAAGCGCACGUAGGCGGAUCUUUAAGUCAGGGGUGAAAUCCCGAGGCUCAACCUCGGAACUGCCUUUGAUACUGGGGAUCUCGAGUCCGGGAGAGGUGAGUGGAACUGCGAGUGUAGAGGUGAAAUUCGUAGAUAUUCGCAAGAACACCGGUGGCGAAGGCGGCUAUCUGGACCACAACUGACGCUGAGGCGCGAAAGCGUGGGGAGCAAACAGG
rnacentral:rRNA from 1 species